GCCCGGGUGGCGAAAUAGGUAGACGCAAGGGACUUAAAAUCCCUCGAUGGCAACAUCGUGCCGGUUCGAGUCCGGCUCCGGGCA
rnacentral:tRNA from 1 species